UAAGGAAUAUUGCUCAAUAGGAGAAAUCCUGAAGCAGCAACGCCGCGUGGAGGAUGAAGGGUCUAUGACUUGUAAACUCCUGUAAAGAAGGAAAAAAUUCCCAUUAGAUGGGAGAUGAUGGUACUUCUGGAGUAAGCCCCGGCUAACUACGUGCCAGCAGCCGCGGUAAUACGUAGGGGGCAAGCGUUGUCCGGAUUUACUGGGUGUAACGGGUGCUCAGGCGGAUUUGUAAGUCAGAGGUGAAAUCUUACAGCUUAACUGUGAAACUGCCUUUGAUACUGCAAGCCUAGAGUAUGGAAGAGAGGGAUGGAAUAUCUGGUGUAGCAGUGAAAUGCGUAGAUAUCAGAUAGAACACCAAUGGCGAAGGCAGUCACUUGGUCCAUUACUGACGCUAAAGCACGAAAGCGUGGGUAGCAAACA
rnacentral:rRNA from 1 species